rnacentral:misc_RNA from 1 species
GGCCAAGACCCAGAAAUAUCAUCUGUUGCCUCUACUUAUCUAGCAUUCUCUCUUCCUGAUCUAGUUCUCCAAUCCUUUAUUAAUCCUCUCAAAAUCUAUCUGAGAACUCAAAACAUAACCCUGCCUCUCAUGCUCAGUGCAGCUUUUGCUCUAGUUUUUCAUGCUCCUAUCAACCAAAUCCUUGUCUAUCACCUUAGCCUUGGCAUUCAAGGCAUUGCUGUGGCAGUAACUGUAACAGACUUGAAUCUUCUUGCUGCCCUUUUGAUUUACCUUUGCUUCUCAGGCAUCUGUCGCGAAUCAUGGCAAGGCUGGUCGCUUCAAUGCUUCGAUGAAUGGAAGCCCAUUCUUGGCCUAGCAAUCCCUAGUUGCAUCUCUGUGUGCUUAGAAUGGUGGUGGUACGAGCUUAUGAUAGUUCUUUCAGGGCUCCUAACAAAUGCUUCUGAGGCAGUUGCCACCAUGGGAAUUCUAAUGCAAGCAACUUCUCUUGUCUAUAUCUUCCCUUCGGCCCUUAGCCUAGCCGUCUCAACUCGAGUAGGGAAUGGAUUAGGGUCGAACCACCCUAGCAAAGCCAAAACCUCAUCCGUCGUUGCUUUAUCAUGUGCAAUCUUCAUGAGUUCCAUUGCCAUGCUUUUCAUGACAUCAAUGAGGCUUGCAUGGGGACAAAUUUUUACCACAGAUAACACAAUAUUGUCACUAACAGCCACGGCCAUGCCGGUGGUGGGGCUAUGUGAGCUUGGUAACUGUCCACAGACCACCGGCUGUGGUGUGCUCAGAGGCAGUGCUAGGCCAAGUCUUGGAGCCAACAUAAAUUUGGGUUCUUUUUACGGUAUAGGAUUGCCUAUUGCUAUAUUGAUGGGCUUUAUGAUGGGCUUGGGCCUGUUGGGCCUGUGGUUGGGCUUGCUGGCAGCCCAGGUUGUUUGUGCUAUUGUCAUGGUUGUGGUGUUGAUGAGGACAGAUUGGGAAGUAGAAGCAAAUAGAGCCAGAGAGCUUACUGGCAUAGUUGAUGAGGUGGGUGAAGCUGAAUCUGAAUCUGAGAGUAAAAGAAAAACACUUCGAGGAUUAAUAUCAAUCCCUCUUGUUGAUUAGAAAGUAAUCAACUUUGAAAAAUUAUUAGGUGCACACACCAUCUUUUAUAAUCACGUGAGACUCACUCUUUAUAUUAUAAAGAGAUCUACUUUUCUGUGAUAGGAAGAGC